AUUGAACGCUGGCGGCAGGCCUAACACAUGCAAGUCGAGCGGAUGAAGGGAGCUUGCUCCUGGAUUCAGCGGCGGACGGGUGAGGAAUGCCUAGGAAUCUGCCUGGUAGUGGGGGAUAACGUCCGGAAACGGGCGCUAAUACCGCAUACGUCCUGAGGGAGAAAGUGGGGGAUCUUCGGACCUCACGCUAUCAGAUGAGCCUAGGUCGGAUUGGCUAGUUGGUGGGGUAAAGGCCUACCAAGGCGACGAUCCGUAACUGGUCUGAGAGGAUGAUCAGUCAAACUGGAACUGAGAGACGGUCCAGACUCCUACGGGAGGCAGGAGGGGGGAAGAGUGGACAAUGGGCGAAAGCCUGAUCCAGCCAUGCCGCGUGUGUGAAGAAGGUCUUCGGAUUGUAAAGCACUUUAAGUUGGGAGGAAGGGCAGUAAGUUAAUACCUUGCUGUUUUGACGUUACCAACAGAAUAAGCACCGGCUAACUUCGUG
rnacentral:rRNA from 1 species